GAAUGUCCUCCUGGGUGAAGGUCAGUGGAUCGGGUGGAUGUUUAGCACAACCCAACCAAUGAAGCAGGAGAUUUUGAGCAGGACACUGUUGUUCAUGUCGUAAGCAAGGAGAAAACUCUGAAGUUGUCUCAGCAGGACACUUUCAAGAUGAUGGUUGACUCAAAAUCCCGAAGACAUCAAAAAUCAACAAGAAUCCCUUUUUAAUUCUCUGGAGUCAAUGGAGCAGACGAGUCAAAGCUGAUGCAUUUACCCAGAUGUUAAGACUAAUGAAGUGCAGCGGUGAACAGCGUGUCACUCUCAUAUCCGUUUGAUGUCGGCACAUCCUUCCUUUGUACAGAGGGAACAACAUGGGGUGCUCGAUCACUUCCAAACCCUGUUCAAUCUAAAUUAAAAUGUACUAAUCUUGUUAUUAUGCUGACCCCUU